rnacentral:rRNA from 1 species
UACGGAGGGUGCAAGCGUUGUUCGGAAUCAUUGGGCGUAAAGGGCGCGUAGGCGGACCUGCAAGUCGAUUGUGAAAGCCCUGGGCUUAACCCGGGAAUUGCAGUCGAAACUGCUGGUCUUGAAUGCUCGAGAGGAUGGUGGAAUUCCUGGAGUAGAAGUGAAAUUCGUAGAUAUCAGGAGGAACACCGGAGGCGAAGGCGGCCAUCUGGCGAGACAUUGACGCUGAGGCGCGAAAGCGUGGGGAUCAAACAGG